CGGAUGCUGGUUUCAUGUGGUGGUUUAGAUGUGUUUUACCCAGUGUCUAGCACCAUUUGAAAUCAGUGUUCC
rnacentral:pre_miRNA from 1 species